AGCUAAUACCGCAUAACGUCGCAAGACCAAAGAGGGGGACCUUCGGGCCUCUUGCCAUCGGAUGUGCCCAGAUGGGAUUAGCUAGUAGGUGGGGUAACGGCUCACCUAGGCGACGAUCCCUAGCUGGUCUGAGAGGAUGACCAGCCACACUGGAACUGAGACACGGUCCAGACUCCUACGGGAGGCAGCAGUGGGGAAUAUUGCACAAUGGGCGCAAGCCUGAUGCAGCCAUGCCGCGUGUAUGAAGAAGGCCUUCGGGUUGUAAAGUACUUUCAGCGGGGAGGAAGGGAGUAAAGUUAAUACCUUUGCUCAUUGACGUUACCCGCAGAAGAAGCACCGGCUAACUCCGUGCCAGCAGCCGCGGUAAUACGGAGGGUGCAAGCGUUAAUCGGAAUUACUGGGCGUAAAGCGCACGCAGGCGGUUUGUUAAGUCAGAUGUGAAAUCCCCGGGCUCAACCUGGGAACUGCAUCUGAUACUGGCAAGCUUGAGUCUCGUAGAGGG
rnacentral:rRNA from 1 species